rnacentral:rRNA from 1 species
UUAAAUUUUUGAAGUUAUUUUAGCUUUUUUGUUGGGUGGAAUCAGUAUAAAGAGUUUUUCCUUCUUUUAAAAUUAAUAGGAACUAAAAAACUUUGAUUUAAAACCAGGAUUAGAUACCCUGCUAUUCUAAGUUAUAUCUAGACAGGGUAGUAAAAGUUGUUCUUCAAACCCAAAGAUUUUGGCGGCACUUUAUCCAAAUAGAGGAGCUUGUCCCUUAAUCGAUAGUCCCCGUUUUAUCUUUCCUCUGUUUGUAUAGCUUGUAUACCGCCGUUGUCAGAUUACUUUUAGAGAAUGUUUUCAAGUUAAAAGACUUUUCUACUUCAGGUCAAGGUGCAGUUCAUAUAGAGGUGGAGGUGAGCUACAAUUUUCUUUAGAAAUACGGAUUUCAAGCCUCGAAGCUGGUCGAAGGUGGAUUUAUUAGUAAAGUAA